GGAAUCUUGCGCAAUGGACGGCAGUCCGACGCAGCGACGCCGCGUGGGUGAAGACGGCCUUCGGGUUGUAAAGCCCUUUUCUGGGGGAAGAGAUAGGACGGUACUCCAGGAAUAAGUGUCGGCUAACUACGUGCCAGCAGCCGCGGUAAUACGUAGGACACGAGCGUUAUCCGGAUUUACUGGGCGUAAAGCGCCUGUAGGCGGUUCUUCAAGUCGUUUGUGAAAGCCCUGGGCUCAACUCGGGGAGGCCAAGCGAUACUGGAGGACUUGAGGGUGACAGAGGGGAGUGGAAUUUCCGGUGUAGCGGUAAAAUGCGCAGAUAUCGGGAAGAACACCAGUGGCGAAGGCGGCUCCCUGGGUCACACCAGACGCUGAGAGGCGAAAGCUAGGGGAGCGAAC
rnacentral:rRNA from 1 species